GCUGAUAUUCUAGCCCCACUCCUAUCUCAUUCACCCCUUUAUCAUUUCACUCUAACCAAAACAUUUUACCAAUUUAGUAAAGGCGAUCAAAAAGUUCAUUGGAGCAAUAAACACAGUACCGCAAGGGAAAGAUGAAAUAAAAAUGAAAUACUUACAAGCGCUAAAAAGUAGAGUUUAACUCUCGUACCUUUUGCAUCAUGAUUUAUCUAGUUUAACCAAGCAAAAAGAACUUUCAGUUUGACCUCCCGAAUCUCGGCGAGCUACUUUAAGACAGCUUUAUGAGCAAACCCGUCCCUGUUGCAAAAGGGUGGGGAGAUCUUAAGAUAGAGGUGAUAGACCUAACGAGCCGAGCGAUAGCUGGUUGCUUAUGAAAAGGAUUUUAGUCCCGCUUAAAGAUUAACCUAUAACUCAAAAUUUUCUUUAAAGUAAUUCAAACAAGGUACAGCCUGUUUGAAAUAGGAUACAACCUCAUUCUCUGGGUAAGCUCCUAUGAAUAAAUGAUAUAGUAGGCCUAAAAGCAGCCAUCAUUAAAAGCGUCAAAGCUUACUCCUUUCUUCACAUAAUCCCCUUACUCUCCUCUAACCCUCAUAUAUUAAUAAGCAAUCCUAUACCCCUAUAGAAAUUUUUAUGUUAAAACUAGUAAUAAGAAGUAUUCCUUCUCUUUAAUGUCAGUGUACAUCAGCAAGGAUACCCCACUGAUCUUUAACGUCCUUAAUAUAACAGUAAUAACCCAUCAAGAAAAAUUUACUCUAACUUACGUUAAUCUAACACAAGCACAUUACAAGAAAGAUUAAAAGAAAAAGAAGGAACUCGGCAAAUAUUAGCCUCGCCUGUUUACCAAAAACAUCGCCUCCUGGUUAAAAAUAGGAGGUCCAGCCUGCCCAGUGACACUGUUCAACGGCCGCGGUAUCCUAACCGUGCGAAGGUAGCGUAAUCACUUGUUCUUUAAAUGAGGACUAGUAUGAAUGGCUCCACGAAGGCUAUACUGUCUCCUUUCUCCAAUCAAUGAAACUAAUCUUCUCGUGAAGAAGCGAGAAUGCAACUAUAAGACGAGAAGACCCUAUGGAGCUUUAAACAAAGAAGAUACCUAUCUCACCUCCUCCCACUUUCCGAAAACAAAUCUUACCCUGAUACUUUAUCUUCAGUUUUAGGUUGGGGUGACCAUGGAGUACAAACUAUCCUCCCUGCUGAAAGAGACUCUUACCUCUUAGCAAAAAGCUACACCUUAAUGCAACAAUAAAUUGACUCUCAUUGACCCAAUAAUUUGACCAACGAACCAAGUUACCCUAGGGAUAACAGCGCAAUCUAUUUCAAGAGCUCAUAUCGACAAAUAGGUUUACGACCUCGAUGUUGGAUCAGGGUGUCCUAGUGGUGCAGCCGCUACUAACGGUUCGUUGUCAACGAUAAA
rnacentral:rRNA from 1 species